AAGAAAAAUUGUUUCUAACUCAUAAGCAUUUUUCCAGCUGCAAGACCUUGGCCAUGUUUUCUUUUCAUGCUCAGUUUUCUCUUGUGUAAAAUGAUGUAAUCAUUGCAGUUAUCUAUGGGGCUACAGUGGGUCUUAGAGAAGAGAAUGUGAGUCAAACUGAUGCCACAGUGCCCAGCCCGUAAGCAGCACACGGUAAGUGUUUAAAUAAAGCUUUUCUUUAUUUUCUUCUUAUUACUAUGAGUAAAUCAAGUUUGUGCUGCUCAAAAUCUGUUAUCUUUGACAGGGUAGCUGAAGGGUUACGGAGGGGGUGAUUGCUACUCUAGGCUUGCCCAACCCCUCUUGUCACCCAAACCCCAUUUUCUUACUCUGUUAAUUUUUAGUAGGCCAAGAGCGACUUCCACCCUCUACUCCUCUGCCUCCAUCACCUGGGGCGAGAUCUCAGGGGACUGGGCUACCACCUGCCUUCUUGCCUGACCCCAGAAUCUCCCUUCUUGGCCCUCACAGCAAUGAUCUGCCUGCUCUGGACCUGUGACAUAGGACACCAUAGAUCUCAUCUUCCUAGUGGAUCAUAUCAGGAAGCACAUGAGGUUGAUUUGUCUCACUACAAGUGAAAUUAAUUUGGAUUAGCAUCAGUUAGUGGGAUGUAACAGCCAGAUUCCUGGAGAUGCAGCUCUUGGACAAAAGAAUGUGUCUCUCUGGACAACCAGAUUGGAUCCAGCCAGAUCAGAAAGAAGCCAGCUUUCCUGGAGUUUAUUAGAAUUUACCCUGCUUUUCCUUGCUUUAGGCCAUGACAUUCUUCUUCCAAGUGGUGCAGGCUGUUUUGUGAUGGAACCAAGGGCAAAA